UGGGGAAUAUUGCGCAAUGGGCGAAAGCCUGACGCAGCGACGCCGCGUGAGGGAUGAAGGUUUUUGGAUCGUAAACCUCUGUCAGAAGGGAAGAAACCGCACUGUGCUAAUCAGCAGUGCCUUGACGGUACCUUCAAAGGAAGCACCGGCUAACUCCGUGCCAGCAGCCGCGGUAAUACGGCGGGUGCAAGCGUUAAUCGGAAUUACUGGGCGUAAAGCGCACGUAGGCUGCUUUGUAAGUCAGGGGUGAAAUCCCACGGCUCAACCGUGGAACUGCCUUUGAUACUGCUUAGCUUGAAUCCGGGAGAGGGUGGCGGAAUUCCAGGUGUAGGAGUGAAAUCCGUAGAUAUCUGGAAGAACAUCAGUGGCGAAGGCGGCCACCUAGACCGGUAUUGACGCUGAGGUGCGAAAGCGUGGGGAGCAAACAGG
rnacentral:rRNA from 1 species